rnacentral:misc_RNA from 1 species
UCGAAAUACAAAAAGGGCUGUUGCUGGCUUGCUUUUUUCUUGCAUGUGCACGCCUUGUCUUAUUUCUCCUCUGUGCACCAACUGUAGGUCUGGAUCAAGCUUGUGUCUUUUUCAGGUCUAUGUUUUACAAAUCUCUCCAAUGUGUUUGGAAUGAUAUGAAUAAACAAUUCAAAAUA